GUGUCAGCCGCCGCGGUAAGACAGAGGUGGCGAGCGUUGUUCGGAUUUAUUGGGCGUAAAGCGAACGCAGGUGGUUUGGUAAGUCAGGGGUGAAAGUCCGCAGCUUAACUGCGGCACUGCCUUUGAUACUGCCUUUCUUGAGUGCAUGAGGGGGAAGCGGAAUUCCGAGUGUAGAGGUGAAAUUCGUAGAUAUUCGGAGGAACACCGGUGGCGAAGGCGGCUUCCUGGCAUGUAACUGACACUCAUGUUCGAAAGCGUGGGUAGCAAACAGGAUUAGAUACCCUAGUAGUCC
rnacentral:rRNA from 1 species